GGAGGUCUGCCGUAACGGUAGCGGAGCGGCUUGCUAAGCCGUCCAGGAGCAAUCCUGUGUGGGUUCGAGUCCCACGGCCUCCGCCA
rnacentral:tRNA from 1 species